UCAAAGAAAGAUCGAUAAUUUUCUUAGGGAAUGACGAUCGAAUUGACUUUACAUUAGACUUAUAUCACGUAGACAUUAUCUAUCUACUAGUUGUUGCAUCCCCUUAACCAAGACUCUCGAUAAAUACAUAUCUGGGAGGCCCGAUAUCUAAGAAAGAGCUUCAGCGUUCCCCGAUAUUUCAAAAGUUUUCUCUGGCCGCCACCCAAGGCCAAAUCACUCGAAAUAACGUGGUAGCAAUUUGUGUAGGCGUCCUGUCGGACGGUCAGCUUGGUCACACUGGUGUCCGAUGGCAGGUGGAGUAGCUUUCGAGCAAUGCAAAAACUCGUCACUUGUGUGGACAAUCAGCUAUAAGUGCCGUUACGAGCUUGCCAAAAUUAUGCCGCAAAUCUAUCUAUCCAUCGGAUAGCUCAAGACGAACGAUUUCACUGUGGCAACGUAACUACUGCCAACAAGUGGACGAUUUAAAAUAUCUCGGUCUUCGCGUUGUUUCGAAAUUCUCUUUGCAGAAAUUUUCGUUAAAGGUCUAUUGCCAAAUUCUGUGCUUUUCUAUUCAUUGUCCUUAUUCUAUCUUCAUUUUUAAUACGUAUGCACACGAAAGACAAUCAUUUGAAUUGGACAAAAACCUAUUGACAAUUAUUAUACAUUCGUUGCUUCGUUCGAUAAAAGAUUAUACUCGACGUACGUGCUGUGGAUCGGAUAAAGUAAAUAAAAUAAAAAAUUAAAAAACAAAUGAAAGAAACGAUACAAAUAAAAAAGAAACGAGUAAAUGAGUA